rnacentral:rRNA from 1 species
AGAGUUUGAUCAUGGCUCAGAUUGAACGCUGGCGGCAUGCUUAAUACAUGCAAGUCGAACGGUAACAUACUCUUCGGAGUGAUGACGAGUGGCGGACGGGUGAGUAAUACAUAGGAAUCUACCUAGUAGUGGGGGACAACCUGGGGAAACUCAGGCUAAUACCGCAUGUUUCUUACGAGAUAAAGAGGGCCUCUUCUUGAAAGCUCUCGCUAUUAGAUGAGCCUAUGUCAGAUUAGCUAGUUGGUAGGGUAAAAGCCUACCAAGGCUACGAUCUGUAGCUGGUUUGAGAGGACGAUCAGCCACACUGGGACUGAGACACGGCCCAGACUCCUACGGGAGGCAGCAGUAGGGAAUAUUGGACAAUGGGCGGAAGCCUGAUCCAGCAAUGCCGCGUGUGUGAAGAAGGCCUGCGGGUUGUAAAGCACUUUUGUUUGGGAGGAAAAGCUUAAAGUUAAUACCUUUAAGUGUUGACGUUACCAAUAGAAUAAGCACCGGCUAACUCUGUGCCAGCAGCCGCGGUAAUACAGAGGGUGCGAGCGUUAAUCGGAAUUACUGGGCGUAAAGCGUGCGUAGGCGGUUAAAUAAGUCGGAUGUGAAAGCCCAAGGCUUAACCUUGGAAUUGCAUUCGAUACUGUUUAGCUAGAGUACAGUAGAGGGAAGCGGAAUUCCUAGUGUAGCGGUGAAAUGCGUAGAUAUUAGGAAGAACACC